GCAGCACCCCCUUUACACGUCCCCUCUUGCACACUCCCUGUUGCACACACACCCCUGUCGAUCCUCCUUGCAGCCCCCCUUUGCAGCACUGACACCCUGUGAUGUACCAUUUGUCACUGUGGGUCAAAGCUUCACAGCUACCUAAGAAACUACAGCUACGAGGGACUUGGAACUAGAUGAUCUUUAAGGUCCCUUCCAACCCUAACUAUUCCAUGAUUCUAUGAAACACAAAGAACAAGAAGCAAAGGCAGGCAUCCCUCUCUUGCAGACUCCUCCCUGCGAACACCUCGCUGGUUUUACACCCAGCCCUGUGCUUGCUGCUCCCUGCCACCCUAGUGCUCCUUACUGACUGCUGGGAGAGAUGUAAAACAGGAUUUACCUAUGCUUUCUUUUCUUUCCCCAGCACAAUGGCCUGCAGUAGGGAUUCACCCACCUUCUCCUCCUCCUUUCUAGUCAUCAGGGUCUGUCCAGCAGUCCCACCGAUACCACAGAUGCCUGAAGUGCCAGGGAAGGCAAGAUGUUCCCUCAGUCACACCGACACCAGAGAUGCUGAGAGUGCCAGGGAAUGUAAGGUGUUUUCCCACAGCUCCGUCUUGGCCACUCAGCUUAAGAAGUGCACAACUAAACUUAGAGGAAUAAAUACUUUGCAUGAAGCUCCUGGCCCUGUGAAAACAAGUGGCAAACCCCUGCUACACCACCAGAGGCUGAAAUGAACAGGGAACAGGAAGAGGCAUCUGGCCAGUGAGAGAGACCAGCAGCGAGCAAGCCCCCUUGUCAAAGCACUCCACGUUGGUUUCCUUUUUCCAAAAUAGAUGAGAAUACUAUCAGCUUUAGAAAGAAAAGUUUAACAAAAUUUAACCUAAAUCCAUUUUUUUUUACCAAAGAUAACAGAACGGUGGUGGCCACGUGUAGUACGCACGGUCAACCAAGUGUGCAUUUGUGGAAUCUGUUCCGUAUUUUUUACAUCAGUUCUCAGUUUUUGUGCUUUCCCUUAUCAGAAGCCGUCACCUGUCACAAAGGGAGAGGCCAUCUCUCAGGUAUAGAGCCACUUUGUUUGGACUGUAAGUCUGCAGAAUCACUUUUUAAAAGAAGUCUGACAUUAGAAAUCACCUUAAGCUGAAGCGCAGGACCACCGGAUCAAGUGUGACAUAUCCACAGCCUCUUAGGACUUCAUAGGUGUUACCACGCUGGGUUCUGACAGUCUCUCGCAACUUCUUCCUUACAGCAGGAAUGUAAAUUAUUUACUAGGGAAACAAACCCUGCUAUUUGAGCCGAAGAAGAUUCCUUUGCUGUCUGUUCCCACUGCAGAGCUUCUUGAACGACUGAGACACACUUCUGCUUUCAUCCACAACAGUGAAAUAUAUGCUUACAUUUAGCAAAUGAAGUACCUCUUUCACGUUCCAUGAUUAAUUCGGAGAGGAGAGCUGCAGGCAGUAAAUUAACCUUUCUACCUGCUUUAUUUUUACUAAAUAAGUGGCUCCAUAAUGUAAUUUUCCCAACCAGAACAGAUCUUUUCUGUGGUUUGCUUUACUGUUUGGAAAAUGUUCUAACCUAUUCCAUUUCGCUUGGUGACAGUAAAACCUUCUGACUGUGUCUGUUACCCUAGGGAUCGCACCUGUAAAUCAAUCGUUCUUCCUAAAAAAUAGAUGACUAGGCAGAAAAGUGGGUUGCAACAUGUGGGAACGCCAACAGCAGACAGGAAUGUGUCUCCUCCACUACAGCAUUUCCAAUUUUACCCUUUCAGUAUUAGCAGCCUGAAUGAUACAGAGGAAUAGCUAAUACUUAAUGCACAUUUUUGUUCCAUACCUGAGCUACAUACCUGAAUCCAAAUCGCUACAGGGAAAAUAAUCCUUUGUAGUUUAACUCUCCGUACCCAAACUUUUUUUGACCUGCCCUUCUAAAGGAUAAAAUAGUGCCUAGUUCUUGAAAAACUCUUUCCAAAUAGUCAUCAUCUGCCAUUAAGUUUAAUUCUUGUAUAAUUUGAUUUGAAGAGAUGUGUUUUCUUGAAUCGCUUUCUAAGCUGCAAUAUAAUAUCUCAGAGCCUUUCUUAACCGUGCUGGAAGCAAACCAGAGUGGUAAUAGGGCGGCACAGGAGCAGCAGAAAAUUACCUGCUUCCGAAAGAUCAAUAAAUAAAUGGGCAUUAUAAAUGCAGAGGUGUUAACUGCAACAAAUACCCAUAAAAUCAAAGAAUAACUGAGGUUGGAAGGGACCUCUGGAGGUUUUCUAGGCCAAACUCCUGCUCAGAACAGGGUUUAUUUCAAAGUUGACUAGUUCUCCACAUUUCGUUUAACAAAGACACUGGGUGAGUGCAUGGGAACGGGCAUCAAGGUAAACUGAGGCAACGACAGAGAUGUAGCCUUGAACAGACCGACUUCAAACAAGCCUUCAGCUAAAGCAACCUUAUCGUGGUCUUCAGCAAGGGAGAAUAUGUGAGUAACGAUACCUUAAAAAUUCAUUCUCUCUGGUUUAUUUACUACAAGUUUGCUUACAUUUUCCCCUUCCAGAAGAUAAAAAUUAUGACUAAUUAAAGGCAGUUCACAUUAAUUACGAGAUGGUGGUUAUGCUUCACUGUAGGCAUCCUCUUCUAUAACCGCAUAUUUUAUGUUCAUAUCAGCGUUUUAGGAGUUUAUAAUCUUGUGAAAUGUAUAGUAUUUCUGUGUCACUGGUAUAUAUGACUCUUUAAACAGAUAAUUUGCUGCCGAGUAACAUAGUGACUUGGACUUCUCUGUAUGGGUCAGGAUUGUGUUUGCUGAUGCUCUGUUAGGUAGAAGAGAGGUUGUGGAUUUUACAGGAGUGAUUUAAUAAAUCACCUGGCAGCAAAACUGGAUACAACAGCCUUUGUUUCCUGUCCUCACUCCUUGCUGCUAGGGACUGGCUUUUCCACUGGAGGAGACAGGAGCUUUGCCACAGACUGCAGUGACAGCAGGAGGGCAGCACAUACAAGAUUAGGCAAGGUGUUGGAGGAUUUUUUGCACACUCAGUAAGUAUUUAGGGAACCAUGUGAUAUGUGAUCUGAACUACACAGUUAGGCAGUUUGAACUCUUGGGUCAGGCACAGAUAUUUCCAGACAGGCAGAGCUACCUACUGACUGUACAUCUGAGAAAGCUCAUCAGAAUUAUUUCUUCUGGCAUGUAUCAAGACUAUGUUGGUGAAAUGCGCCUGGAUAUGGUAGCUUAAGAUAGAACUAUGCUGGAAUGUUCCUGCAGCUGUUACUUGGAAAACAUCUGUGAUUCUGUGCAUGGACAUUUGUACAUCUCUGUUCACACCAGCAUAGAGCAAUUAAUCUUGUGAAACAAAGUGGGAAUUACUGCUGGGAAACAAGAGAAGGACAUCACACACCAAUGGACAUGAAAUGACUAAAGGUAGUUAUUGUCUGGAAGGAAAAGCAAACAAUGGAAUAUUCCAUUUCUGGCACAGGAAAUAGAAUAAGAUCAGCUGGCUCUGCAAGACUUCCGGAACUCCAACAGCUAGGUAUUUAAGAAUAACCCAUCCACUAGACUUGAGGGGUGGAAUUUUUUAUGCUUACAGUUGGGAAAAUCCUUCUGCCUGUGAUAAUAUGUGACAGCCUGUGUUUGUAUAGUCUGAUAAAGGGAACAGGAGACAGGUUGACACAAUUUCUCUACGGUUAAUGGUUAUCCCUAGGCAAAGCAUAAAAGGCAUUGCCCCAAAGAUCUCAAUUUUAGUAAAAGAUAUCCAAGAAGGUAAACUUAAAAAGCCUUGGGAAAGGACAAUGAGAUGUAUUUUGUUCACAGCACAUUGAAUAAUUAAGGGAUUUUUCAACUCUUGAGGCUUUCACAUUAAGCCUAGGGCGUUCGGAAGGUGUGCUUACUGAAAUGUAACAGCCUGUUGUAUUCAAGAACUCAGACUGGUUCAUCUGAAAAGCUAGCGUGUAAGGAAUUGUGAAUGCCUUUGGUAAGCCAGCAGAACACAGCACGAUGAGAAGCAAGGGGCGAUAUCUGACUGGUGGGCAGCUGUUCGUCACUGCCUGCUGCUGAGGAAGGGGGUCUGCUGAGAGCUGGUGAGGCCAUGGGUGACCCUUCAUUGUCAUCUCCCGGUAGCCAGAUGUGAGCUCUGUGGCACUGAACAUCUGUACUUUCCUAUUGUACCUAUUUUCUCUCAUGAUACUUGCAUUGUACGAUGGAAAAACAGAAUCAAGAGGGAAGGAUCCUCCCUUUGUUUCGUGGAUGCUUUGUGCACACGGUUGAAAUUUCAGUGUCUUAGUGUUUAAUGUAAACUACAUUAAAUGGAUUUGCAUCGUGUUAGCUCUGAAAAUAAAUGUAAAAUACCCAUUUCCAGUCCUCCUGAAUGCCUCCUAGGAAAUCAUUUUACUCACUGAUUCCACAGUCAGAAAGGUGAUUGUUCUUUUUGUCUUGGUUUAACUUUUUAUGACUAAUUUAAAUUCCAUUUAUGCAGAAUCUCUAUGAACUUGAAAAAGACUUCUGAAAUCAUGCACAACUACCUUUCUAAAAAAAUACCUUAAAAAGCUUUUAGUACAACAUUGCCUAGAAUUAUCUUUUCAAUUAAAUAAAAGAGCCCACUUCAAGUAAGUGACAAAAAUAUACAGUGAAUGAAACACACCUUCCAGUAAUAAAUCAUUAUUAGAAGAGACCUUUAAGCGAGCUGCUAGUUACCCAGUCAUGCUUAGACAAGCACAAGGUUAUUGAAACAUACAGCUUCCUUUCAGACAAUUUAACUUGCACUGAAGGCAAAUUAUUGCCAUAAAAGCGCUGAAGCACGUUGCUCAGGCAUUUGAUGCAAUUCUUUUGGCUUCA